rnacentral:pre_miRNA from 1 species
UCUUAUGGAUAAGCAAAGAAAGUGGUUUCUUAAGACACAAUCUACUCCGGUGAAGAUGUUGUGAA